UAUUGAUAUGCUUAUUUCGAAGAUUAAGCCAUGUAAAUGUAAGUGCACCAAUUUUUUUGUUAAACUGUGCAAGGCUCAAUAAACGAUUUAUAAACACUACGUUUUGUUUAUCCUUAUAAGGAUAACGUUGUCAAAUGCAUCGAUAAUACUUGCUCUCUUAAACCUCUGAAUUGCAUAGGAGGUAAAUAAUAAACACCUAAUGAAUUAGGUUUAUUUACUAAAUUUAUUUAGUAUUAACACGUAGUUGUUUAAUCGAUGAUUUUAUCAUCCAUCAGUUUUAUGAGUGUUUAAAUUACACUCAUGACAGUAACGGAUACGGAUAAUCAGUGUUUGAUUCCGGAGAAAGAGCCUUAAAAACGGCUACUAGUACCAAGGUUUGCAACAGGCGCGAAAAUUAUCCAAUGCGAAUACAUUUCGCGAGAUAGUGAAAAUAAAUAAGCAUCCUGAACUAUUUUAGUUUAGGAGUACUGUUUAUUUUAUAAUCAGUUUACAAUGAUAACGAAUUAGAUAUUCGUUAGAGAAACAAUUAGAGGUCAAGUCAGGUGCCAGCAUCCGCGGUAAUACCUGCUCUAAUAGUCUAUAAUAAAAUUGUUGUGGUUAAAACACUCGUAGUCUAUUCAAGAGUUUGAAUGUUAAAGUCAAUUGAGUUUAUCUAAACCAAAAACUAUUUUAAUAGUUCAAGGUUUAGUCCUUUUAGGAGUCGUAACUGAUAGUAACUCCAAUUAUAGCAUUGUCUUUUUUGAUUUGAUUUAUAACAAUAAGUCAAGUUGUUAUAAAGAACUUAUGUGGCUUUAUAUUCAAAACUCGAAACCAUCCUUCUGUGAUCAAAUUAAAUCGACCCAGGAAGGAUUUGUUAAUAAUGAAUUCUUUGAAUUUAUUAUUUUGUGAUGCAAUAUAUUUAAGCAUAGUAACUAUUUUCAAAGUAGUUUUAUCUAUUUUGAAUAUAUAAUAGGACUAGAUUCAAGUUCUCAGUACUUGUUGAUCAGGGGUGAAAUCCGUAUAGUCAACAAUGACUACCAAAGGCGAAAGCAGAGAGCCAGAACUAGUCUAUUGAUCAGGAGUUAGAGUUAAGGGAACAAAGAUGAUCAGAUACCGUCGUAGUCUUAACUAUAAACUAUACUGAUAAGUGCUUGUACAAAGCCAAGUUACUAGAUUUAUACAUGAACCCCGAGAAAUCUCAAAUUUUUGAGUUCCAGGGGAAGUAUAUUCGCAAGAAUGAAACUUAAAGGAAUUGACGGAAAUUCACCACCAGGAGUGGAGUUUGCGGCUUAAUUCGACUCAACGCGUGAAAACUUACCAAAUCCAAAUUAUGUUAAGAUUGACAGGUUAACGACUUUUCUUGAUUCAUAAAAGAGUGGUGCAUGGUCGUUCUCAGUUCGUGGAUUAAUCUGUCUACUUAAUUGUGUUAACGAGCGAGAUCUUAAUUAACUAAUUAGUAUCACGUAAUUUUAACUCGUUUGAAAUCAAAAUUGAAAAUAACUAUUUUUAAUAGUUUUUUCUUCUUAGUAAAACUUCGCUCGAAUAAAUAACAGAGUAUGGUAGAAAGGCAAUAACAGAUCUGUUAUGCCCUCAGAUGUUUUGGGCAGCACGCGUACUACAUUGAUAAUUUCAGUAGGUUUAAGCGUUACGAGUCAAAUCAUAACACUCCAGGUUUUAAUGAAUAAGGCAAUCCACAAACAUUUAACAUAUCAGGAAUUAAGGAUUGCAAAUUCCUUAUGAACAAGGAAUUCCUAGUAAUAGUAAAUCAUCAUUUUCCAAUGAUUACGUCCCUGAAUUUUGUACACACCGCCCGUCGCUCCUACCAAUUGAAUAAAAAGAUAAAAUUAGUGGAGAAUAUUAUUUAUUCAAAACUAAUUGAAUCUCUGUAUUUGUAGGAAGGAGAAGUCGUAACAAGGUUUUCGU
rnacentral:rRNA from 1 species